UACAGAGGGUGCGAGCGUUAAUCGGAAUUACUGGGCGUAAAGCGCGCGUAGGCGGCUAUACAAGUCGAGUGUGAAAUCCCCGGGCUCAACCUGGGAACUGCAUUCGAGACUGUAUGGCUUGAGUAUGGGAGAGGGAGGCGGAAUUUCAGGUGUAGCGGUGAAAUGCGUAGAUAUCUGAAGGAACAUCAGUGGCGAAAGCGGCCUCCUGGACCAAUACUGACGCUCAUGUGCGAAAGCGUGGGGAGCAAACAGGAUUAGAUACCCUGGUAGUCCACGCCAUAAACGAUGAGAACUAGAUGUCGGGAGGGUUAGCCUCUCGGUGUCGCAGCUAACGCGUUAAGUUCUCCGCCUGGGGAGUACGGCCGCAAGGUUGAA
rnacentral:rRNA from 1 species